UGAAAAUGAUCACAAAGGCUUUGGACUUCAAGGGUGAAAUAGUCUAUGACACCACUAUGUCCGAUGGUCAGAUGAGGAAGACAGCAAGCAAUGACAAACUGAGACGCUACCUUCCUGACUUCACCUUCACACCGCUUGAUGAAGCCAUCAAGAUGACCUGUGACUGGUUUGUGGCCAAUUACGACAUUGCAAGAAAAU